rnacentral:rRNA from 1 species
AGAGUUUGAUCCUGGCUCAGCGCGAACGCUGUCGGCGUGCCUAACACAUGCAAGUCGUGGGGCAGCAGGCCGGUUCCUUCGGGAACUGGUGCUGGCGACCGGCGAACGGGUGAGUAACGCGUGAGCAACCUACCCCGAGGAGGGGGAUAACCCGGGGAAACCCGGGCUAAUACCCCAUAAGCGCACGGCUCGCAUGAGCUGUGUGCAAAGGGUGGCCUCUGCUUAGCAAGCUGCCGCCUCGGGAUGGGCUCGCGUCCCAUCAGGUAGUUGGUGGGGUAACGGCCUACCAAGCCUACGACGGGUAGCUGGUCUGAGAGGAUGGCCAGCCACACCGGGACUGAGACACGGCCCGGACUCCUACGGGAGGCAGCAGUGGGGAAUCUUGGGCAAUGGGCGAAAGCCUGACCCAGCAACGCCGCGUGGAGGAAGAAGCCCUUCGGGGUGUAAACUCCUUUUGCAGGGGAAGAGAGAGACGGUACCCUGCGAAUAAGCUCCGGCUAACUCCGUGCCAGCAGCCGCGGUAAUACGGGGGGAGCGAGCGUUACUCGGAAUCACUGGGCGUAAAGGGUGCGUAGGCGGCUUAGUAAGUUGGGAGUGAAAUCCCACGGCUCAACCGUGGAACUGCUUCCAAAACUGCUAAGCUAGAGUCCGGGAGAGGCCGAGGGAAUUCCUGGUGUAGGGGUGAAAUCCGUAGAGAUCAGGAGGAAUGCCGAAAGCGAAGGCGCUCGGCUGGAACGGAACUGACGCUGAGGCACGAAAGCGUGGGGAGCAAACAGGAUUAGAUACCCUGGUAGUCCACGCCCUAAACGAUGGACAUUAGUCGUUGCCCGAAGGGCAGUGACGCAGCUAACGCGAUAAAUGUCCCGCCUGGGGAGUACGGUCGCAAGAUUAAAACUCAAAGGAAUAGACGGGGACCCGCACAAGUGGUGGAGCAUGUGGUUUAAUUCGAAGAUACGCGAAGAACCUUACCUAGCCUUGACAUUGAUUGAAUUCUGUAGAGAUACGGAAGUGCCUUUCGGGGAACAUGAAAACAGGUGCUGCACGGCUGUCGUCAGCUCGUGUCGUGAGAUGUUGGGUUAAGUCCCGCAACGAGCGCAACCCUCGUCACUAGUUACUAACGGUUCGGCCGAGGACUCUAGUGAGACUGCCUUCGUAAGGAGGAGGAAGGUGAGGACGACGUCAAGUCAUCAUGGCCCUUAUGGCUAGGGCUACACACGUGCUACAAUGGGGCGUACAGAGUGUUGCGAUACCGCGAGGUGGAGCCAAUCACUUAAAGCGUCUCUCAGUUCGGAUUGGAGUCUGCAACUCGACUCCAUGAAGCUGGAAUCACUAGUAAUCGUAGAUCAGCAAUGCUACGGUGAAUACGUUCCCGGGUCUUGUACUCACCGCCCGUCACACCAUGGGAGUUGAUUUCACCCGAAGCGGGGAAGCUAAACUGGCUACCCUCCACGGUGGAAUUAGCGACUGGGGUGAAGUCGUAACAAGGUAACCGUAGGAGAACCUGCGGUUG